CCUACGGGUGGCAGCAGUGGGGGAUAUUGCACAAUGGGGGGAACCCUGAUGCAGCGACGCCGCGUGGGUGAAGGAGCGUUUCGGCGCGUAAAGCCCUAUCGGCAGGGAAGAAGAUGACGGUACCUGGCCAAGAAGCCCCGGCUAACUACGUGCCAGCAGCCGCGGUAAUACGUAGGGGGCAAGCGUUAUCCGGAUUUACUGGGUGUAAAGGGGGCGCAGACGGCAAUGCAAGCCAGGAGUGAAAGCCCGGGGCCCAACCCCGGGACUGCUCUUGGAACUGCAUGGCUGGAGUACAGGAGGGUCGGGCGGAAUGCUUGGGGGAGCGGGGAAAGGCGGAGAUAGUAGGAGGAA
rnacentral:rRNA from 1 species